UACGUAGGGGGCAAGCGUUGUCCGGAAUCAUUGGGCGUAAAGAGCGUGUAGGCGGCUCGAUAAGUCUGCUGUGAAAGUCCAGGGCUCAACCCUGGAAGGCCGGUGGAAACUGUCGGGCUAGAGUCCGGAAGAGGCGAGUGGAAUUCCCGGUGUAGCGGUGAAAUGCGCAGAUAUCGGGAGGAACACCAAUGGCGAAGGCAGCUCGCUGGGACGGUACUGACGCUGAGGCGCGACAGCGUGGGGAGCAAACAGG
rnacentral:rRNA from 1 species